rnacentral:lncRNA from 1 species
AAUAAUAAUAAUAAUAGCAGAGAUCAAUGAUAUAUCUAAUAUGAUCCACGAAGUAUAAACAAUAUUUCUUAUUUUAAGACUAAAUAUCAAUUUAAAUUGCAUAAUAAAAAGACAAUAGAAAAAACUAUGACUUAUAUUAACAAUACUUACUGUUUACAUAUGCAAUAGCAUGCAAACAGUCUCCAUUCCUGAGGAUAGUAACUCGGAAAGAAGCUGAAGUUACAAUAACACAUAAAGAAGAAAAGUAGAAAGAGUUAUCAGGUGCAUAGAUAACCUUUACAAAGAAAUCCACACCAUAGAAAGAUCUUUACACAGAUAAGACACACUAGCUUGAAGAAUAUUACAUGAAUAAGAAAAGAGAAAGAGAAAGAGCAAGAGCAGGAAAGACUCGCAGAGCAAGAGAGGCUUCUACUAAGCAAGAGGAGAGCGAGAUGCUGAGAGAGUGUGUUGCAAAAGAUGCAAGCUCGUUUUUUAUGAUGCCUUCUUCGUUGUACUUCGUUCGCCUUUUUUAGGGGACGAACUUCAAACGAAUUUAGCUGGAUUAGAGUAUGAGGCCAGGUGGAAAAGGAAAAGAUUCCUUCAGUCGGCUGAAUAGCGAGACAGCUGGAAGAUUGCUUUGGAUAGGUGGAAAGUUGAAAGAUUCUUUUGGUCUUCAGAUGUGACCUUAAUGGUUGCUUUAUAAAGUUUUCCAGGGCUGAUUGGCUGCUAGCUGUGAUGGAUUGUCGUCUUUCGUCGGCUAUUGAAGUGAUAUUGUCGGUGGAGCUGCUUUACGUACAACUUUAUGUACAGUGACAACAGCUUUAUGUACAACAACUUUAUUGACAACAACUUUAUGGCAGCAACUUUAUGUACAGUGAUGACAUGUGGUACUUUAUGUACAGUGAUGACAGGUGGUAGAUUCCUUCUUCUUUAUCUACAGGUAAUUUUGUCGGCCGCUUUAUUUCGGGUCUUCGGGUUAGAACUGCGGCCUCUAGCUAAACUCAUCAUCAUCUUCAUUUUCUGUCUGAGAUGCUGAAUUCUCUUCAGAUUCUUCUUCGAAAAUGUGCAGAAGUUGCUUUUCCAACUCUUCCUUGAUGGCUUUAGGGUUUAGUUUGCGCAUUCUCUUAACAUAGUCAGAAAACUGAGUUAAGAGUUUCAUUGGGAGAAUUAUAUUAAGGAUUAUUUGGGGAUAGGUCUAGUAUUCUUUUUAAUUUUAUAAACUCAGGCUCCAGAUACGUAGUAUAAAAAACAACCCACCAUUUUAUGAAAAUUCUUUUCCCAAUCUAGGGAUAUAUUCAAAAGUAUCAUCAUUAUUUUCUGAGAUUCCAUACUCCCACUUAACAAUCCAAGGAAUCUGAUAUAUUGACAUAAAGUAUAAAUGAUAAUCUAUAUUUAUAUUUUUACCAUUAUAUUCGGCAAACUUUCCCAGAGAUAAUUGCACCUUUUCGAGCAAUAUUUGUGAUCUUGAUCCAAUAUCGAAACCAACUGGGAAAUGGUUCAAAAAUUGGCAUUUUAAAUUGCACAAAUCAAGUAUGGGAAUAAUUCGUAUUUUGAUAUGCAAAUAUUUUGUGCCAAGCAUCAAUGUAUUCAGAAUAUUUAAAAUACCUAUUUGGGAACUCUGGAUUCUGUAAUUUUUUUCCACAAGUAGUAGGAUAAUAUUUUCCGUAUUUGCAAUUUGCUAUAUUAAAUCGUCUUUGUAUUGUUAUGAUAGAAAUGAACAAGAGAAAUUGAGUCAGUUUCUAGUAGAAUGGCUUCAUACCAUUCUCUAGAUUUAUUUCCAAUGGAUGAGCUCAGAUGGUUUAAAAGGUAUAGGGAGGCUAGCUUAUUUGGGUCGGUCUUUAUAUAUUUAUCAUCGAUAAUGAUAUCAAUGAGGAAAGAAGUUUCCUCAAAAACCGAUUUUCCAUAGCUUGAUACUUUAUUUGGGACAGGAGAGGUUAUGAGUCUGGGGUUUGGACUUGUUGGAAUUUGAUUGGAAUAGUCAGAAUAAUUUUGUAUUGAUCUAAUUGGUGACAAAGGUGGAUAGCUGGUUAUAGGUGAGCCUGGUGAUGAUGGUACAAUUUCCAUAGAAAGUUUUCCUUUAUCCAUAUGGAUAUAUUUCUAGAUAAGUUUCUAUUUAUAUUGAAAAGUGACAAAGCCAAAGGCUUUUGCUCUUCCGGUUUGGGGUUAGAGUCUAGAGUCCUUCCCUCCUAGCAAAAAUUCGCGAGUGAGAAAAUCAAGAAGAGAAUUAUGUUUACCACUAAAUUUUGCUCAUCCUAGCCUUGGCGGUCCUCUAGCCUAGGUGUCAAAAAGCUUAACUUUCGGACUAACACUUAAAAUGAGAAAAUUUUAAGAUUCCUAACUCCUAAGUUACUACAAUCACGUGGUAAAACACUAAUGGCCAUUCUUCAAUGGCACUGAUACCAAUUGACACCUAGAUCUAAAAAACAUAAAUUAACAUAAGAAAAGGAGCACUAUACGUUACUAAUCUAUUUUAGAUUCCAAAAAGAAAUAAUAAUAAUAAUAGCAGAGAUCAAUGACAUAUCUAAUAUGAUCCACGAAGUAUAAACAAUAUUUCUUAUUUUAAGACUAAAUAUCAAUUUAAAUUGCAUAAUAAAAAGACAAUAGACAAAACUAAAACUUAUGUCAACAACACUUACUGUUUACAUACGCAAUAGCUUGCAAACAGUCUCCAUUUCUGAGGAUAGUAACUCGGAAAGGAGCUGAAGUUACAAUCACACAUAAAGAAGAAAA